rnacentral:lncRNA from 1 species
AUGCCAGGCCUCGCAGGUAUGAACGGUGAGGAGCCAUUGACAGCUGUGAGAAACACUACCCAGCUGCCACGACUUUUCUCAGAAAAACCUGCUGUUCUUGCACCAGUGUCUUCCUCCAUGGGAACGCGUUCGGAGCAGGAGCGAAAUGGAAAAAUCCUCGUAUUAAGAUCCCGGUGCUAUGACCCGAACAGAGGACUCCAGGCGACUUUCCAGGAAAUCCUCCAUAUCUGUCUUCAGACUGACCUGAAAAUGUAAGACGAGUGGAGGAGUCCACACCAGCCCCGCACGUGCCGUUUGGACACGGCGUCUCCUGUGCUGUCCUCCCCUUUGGUGGGCACCCCCAUUUGUCACCCCGUUGGACUCCUCCCGCCACCACGUGGCCAUCAGCUCCACGCCCAGAUCUGCCUUUUGUGCUCUUUUGACAGUGAAGCUGUCAUGCUCUCUGCAAAGCCGGAGUUGAAGACGCAAUCUGUAACAGUUCGUCAAAACUCGUUUUCUUAGUCUAUUGGUUGUAUUUUAAUACGAAAAGAUUUACUCACUUAUUUGUUCUCUGGGAUUCGUUUUAAAAAUAUUCUUUUGUUUUUUAUUUAUGUAGUUAUGUACUCAUGUAAGUAUGUAUUUAUUUGAGAGAGAGAGAGAGAGAGAAGAGAAUUCCAAGUGGGAUCAUGAGCUGAGCCGAGAUCAAGAGUCAGACACGCGACCGACUGAGCUACCCAGGGGCCCCUCCCUGGGAUUCUUGUAUCUCGUUCUCUCUGCGCCUAAGUGAGGCCUGGCGAGCAAAGCAGGUGAAGCAGGUGUCUUGGGAAGGUGCCUCCCAGGUCUUGGGUGACGUCUUUAUCGUUUAGGGUGGAUUCCCAUCCCGUCCUUCCCUUCCCCUCCGUUCCUCUCCCAGACAGGAAUGAUGGAGAUUCAUAUGCCUUCCCUCUUCCCUGCUUCACUCUCUUUCUUCAUUUCUUCCAAGGAAUAAGUGCCUUCUUAGGCUCCAUGGGUCCCCUAGGGUGGAGGGAAGGUCUCUGUAAGUAGAGUUAUUCCCAUCCUGUCUCACACCCUCACUCGAAUGUUCCCGUGAUACACGUUUAAUUUCAAGGACUCUCCCUCUCCGCGUCCGCCACAGACCUUUCCCAGAGCCAGUGCCGUGGGUGAUCUCCUUCACCAAAUGCUUUGGGGGUGGCUGGGAAGCCUUUGCAGGGUGGCCGUCCGAUCUUGUCACUGAAGACGGUGCCCUGCUGACUGUGGCUCCCGCUGUUGUGUGAGA